CUGUAAUCCUAGCUACUCUGGAGGCUGAGGCGGGAGAAUCGCUUAGAACCCGGGAGGUGGAGGUUGCAGUGAGCCGAGACAGCACCACUGCACUCCAGCCUGGGUGACAGAGUAAGACUCUGUCUCAAAAAAAAAAAAAAAAAAGAAAAAAAGAAAAAGAAAACGAGAGGAAAGGCCAGAUGUGGUGUAACACCAGCACUUCGGGAGGCUGAGGGAUGAGGAAAUUGAAGAUCUGAGUGCUUAAGCAAGGGAUCAA
rnacentral:lncRNA from 1 species